rnacentral:rRNA from 1 species
GACGAACGCUGGCGGCGUGCCUAAUACAUGCUAGUAGAACGCUGAAGAGAGGAGCUUGCUCUUCUUGGAUGAGUUGCGAACGGGUGAGUAACGCGUAGGUAACCUGCCUUGUAGCGGGGGAUAACUAUUGGAAACGAUAGCUAAUACCGCAUAACAAUAGGUGACACAUGUCAUUUAUUUGAAAGGGGCAAUUGCUCCACUACAAGAUGGACCUGCGUUGUAUUAGCUAGUAGGUGAGGUAACGGCUCACCUAGGCGACGAUACAUAGCCGACCUGAGAGGGUGAUCGGCCACACUGGGACUGAGACACGGCCCAGACUCCUACGGGAGGCAGCAGUAGGGAAUCUUCGGCAAUGGGGGCAACCCUGACCGAGCAACGCCGCGUGAGUGAAGAAGGUUUUCGGAUCGUAAAGCUCUGUUGUAAGUCAAGAACGAGUGUGAGAGUGGAAAGUUCACACUGUGACGGUAGCUUACCAGAAAGGGACGGCUAACUACGUGC